CGCCGGCCGGCGCGCGCGUGCCUGCCUCGGCUGCCAUGCAUCAUCGGACCGCGCGCGGCCGCCGCCAUCCUCAUUCGCGCGGCACCGAUCGACAAUCAAUCGUCAAAUCGUUCCCUGCAUACGAGCUGCUUCCCUCGUCGCCCAUGGAGAUGAGAUGAGAUUGUCCACCAGACGGCGGCGGAUCCCCCUUCAAUUCCACUCCACGCCGAUCUGGGUCCGGUGAUCCCGGCCGGCGUCCACAGCCACGACCAGCGAUAAUGGAAGCCUGUGAUUUUGGGACUGGAACAGUGGCCAUAUAUAACUUUCAACAAGACCAGACUAUAGUCCUGCGCCGGGAUCAUUGGAAAGUGAGGCAUGUAUUCCUGCUCUCUCUUACGAGGUCGGUGGAUUUAGGCUCGUGACUUGCCAGACAGAUGAAUAAAAUUAUAAAGAUGUGGAAAAAGGAUUUUAACCGAAACCCAUGCCAUUAUCUUCAAACCGCCAAAGGACAUCCGGCGAUACUGAUUUUCCUUAGGCUGUAACAAGUGGUAACAGGACACCUGGUUAGUCUAUUGAAUCCAGUUGAAAUUUGGGCACAGGUUCCCCUAUGCAUGCACACGUUGUUGCUGGUGCUGAAAGCCUGAAACGGAUGAUGAGUACAACUUUUCUGUAACUGUACAAGUAGAUCUGAUAACAAGGCUUGGACUGUGCAAAACUUUCGUGUCAAUUUCAGCUUUGUUGCCUUGGCCAGUGCAUAAGGGUCUAUAUGGUGUAUCAGCUUAAGCAGUGAAGUCUGCUAAAGAAUGUUGAAGAUGACUACUUCGCAGCUCUGCAAAGUUCACCUGCCCCGGUGUGAUGAUAUAUUUUCCUACAAUUUUGCUAUUGAGAAGAAACUGAUAGAUAUAAAAAAAACAGAACAUGCAAAUCGUGGUGUAAAUCUUAUAGUGCCAGCAAUCCGGUAGUUUUGGGUAAGUAGAUUUCAUGUGCAAUUUUUCGGGUUAUACAUAGGAGCCUAUAAAUUUGUGAUUUUUUUUUUUUUUUGCAGUGGGGCAGGAUAGAACUUCAUAUUGUUUGUUUAAGGCAAGCAGAAUUAUUGCUUGCAUGUUGUAGUUUGUAUAAAUACUAAUAUUUCUCAUUUCACUAAA